rnacentral:lncRNA from 12 species
CCUCCUUUCCUAGGAUAAUGAGAGCCUCGGAGGGAUGGUGGUUCCCUGAAGUAUGAAAACAUGAAAGAGGACUUCCCCAAAGCCAUUGGGUGGAGCACAAAGGAUGUGGAAAGACUGGAGGGCUGGAGAGUAAAGAUGAUGAUAGAUAAAGGGUGGAUGAGAUGGACCUGGUCAGCUUCCUCUUUCCAUGACAAAAUAAGAUCUGAUCAACGCAUUAAUUAAACAAGCGUUUCAUCUGUUAAUUACUCUGUUAUUGUCUGUUUUAACAAUUCCUGUGAAUGCAAGCCACA